CGCAAACGCUGGGCAUUUUCACAGAAUACUUAUGGGCCUAUUCUUUAUGAGCCUAAUCUAGACGUAGUAAAAUUCCAAAAAUACUGGCCAUUUUUAAGCUAUUUAUAGGUGUUUGAUAUUUUAAAGUUUUUAAGUUUUUAUUUAGUUUUAUGUGCAUACAAUUGUUUGAACCAAUUAGAAAUGUUUAACAACUUUUUUUAAGGUUUAUCAUAAAUUGUAAUUUUUUUAUUUUUGUUUGUUUUAAAUGUAAGUG